UCGUCUGUAUGGGUCAACAAAGAAAACUUGUCAAAGUAAUCUGAGCAUUUGAUGCGAUUGGCCUGCGGAUUGUCAAAGUAAACUUGUCAAAGUAAACUUGUUGACACGUUCACACCGGUAAAGUAAAACUUGUCAUAUGAAAACUUGUCAUAUAAAAUUUGUUGCAUAUACACACGUGCACUUGGCAAAUAAAACUUGUCAUAUGAAAACUUGUCAUAGAAAACUUGCUCGUCUGUAACCGGCUU